GACAGAGGGUGCAAACGUUGCUCGGAAUUACUGGGCGUAAAGCGCGUGUAGGCGGCCCUGCAAGUCGGACGUGAAAGCCCUGGGCUCAACCCAGGAACUGCAUCCGAAACUGCGGGCCUGGAGUGGUGGAGAGGGAAGCAGAAUUCCUGGUGUAGAGGUGAAAUUCGUAGAUAUCAGGAGGAACACCGGUGGCGAAGGCGGCUUCCUGGACACUUACUGACGCUGAGACGCGAAAGCGUGGGGAGCAAACAGG
rnacentral:rRNA from 1 species